GAUGAACGCUGGCGGCGUGCCUAAUACAUGCAAGUCGAGCGAACAGACGAGGCGCUUGCUCCUUUGACGUUAGCGGCGGACGUGUGAGUAACACGUAGGUAACCUACCUAUCAGACUGGGAUCACUUCGGGAAACCGGAGCUAAUACCGGAUAAUAUUUCGAACCGCAUGGUUCGAUAGUGAAAGAUGGCUUUUCUAUCACUUAUAGAUGGACCUGCGCCGUAUUAGCUGGUUGGUAAGGUAACGGCUUACCAAGGCAACGAUACGUAGACGACCUGAGAGGGUGAUCGGCGACACUGGAACUGAGACACGGUCAAGACUCCUACGGGAGGCAGCAGUAGGGAAUCGUACGCAAUGGGCGAAGGCCUGACGGAGCAACGGCGAGUGAGUGAUGAAGGUCUUCGGAUCGUAAAACUCUGUUAUUAGGGAAGAACAACCGUGUAAGUAACUGUGCACGUCUUGACGGUAACUAAUCAGAAAGCAACGGCUAACUACGUG
rnacentral:rRNA from 1 species